UUCUCGGGACCGAAGAUUUAGAUGGAUCUGUUUUGAAAACAGCCAGGUCGAGCGUGCCUGGAUUAUAAUAACUUUUCAACAAACGUCUAAAUUGAAUCCGCCGUCCGGCUCUUCUUGUUCUUUUCGGCAUGAGAGAUUUUUAGCACAACACUCUUAAAGUAAGGAAGAGAAGAACUGUGUUCGUGGUUCAAGCACUGCGUUCUGGGAAAAAGGGAGGAAUGGUGCUCGUGGUUCAAGCACAACACUCUUAAGGUAAAGAAAAGAAGAACGGUGCUCGUGGUUCAAGCACGGCGUUCUGGAAAAAGAAUGAAGAUGAUAAGAGGGAACAGAGGCUCAAGACCCCUGGCAA